rnacentral:rRNA from 1 species
UAUAAAAUAAUAUUAAAGGCAACGCCUGCCCAGUGAACAAUUAAACGGCCGCGGUACCCUAACCGUGCAAAGGUAGCGCAAUCAUUUGUCUACUAAUUAUAGACUAGUAUGAAAGGCAAAAUGAGGGCUUAACUGUCUCUUAUAGUACAUCAAUUAAACUGAUCCACCAGUAAAAAAGCUGGGAAUAUUUUCAUAAGACCAGAAGACCCUGUGAAGCUUUAACUAAACUAUUAAAUCUAAUAAUAGCUACUUUCGGUUGGGGGCGACCUUGGAAAAAAAAGAACUUCCAAACACAAUAAUUAUAACUUUUACCACCUAGGCCUACAAGCCACAAUAUGACCCAGCAUAGCUGACAAUUGAAACAAGUUACUCCAGGGAUAACAGCGCCAUCUUCUUCAAGAGUCCAUAUCAAAAAGAAGGUUUACGACCUCGAUGUUGGAUCAGGACAUCCUAAUGGUGUAGCCGCUAUUAAGGGUUCGUUUGUUCAACGAUUAAUAGUCCUACGUGAUCU